AACAAAGGUAACUAAGAUUAGAAUUAUGUAUAAGAGAGAGAUUCACUCAUGCAGAUAACUUUAGAAUUGUCUACAUGAGUGAAUAACUCUUAUACAGAGUGUCCUAAAGUAGUGAACCUUUAGAAAUCACCUUAUGUUAUUUAUAAUUUGAAGAUCUAUUUUAAAACUACACUCGAGUGACAGAGGAGUAACGGACGACUACAGACGAGUAACAGACGACUAUAGACCAGUAAAUUUUCUAAAUACGACUAUUAAACAGUAUUUUGACGGAUUG